rnacentral:rRNA from 1 species
UACGUAGGGUGCAGGCGUUAUUCGGAAUUACUGGGCGUAAAGCGUGCGCAGGCGGUCUUUUAAGUCAGAUGUGAAAUCCCCGGGCUUAACCUGGGAACUGCGUUUGAAACUGGAAGGCUAGAGUGUGGCAGAGGGGGGUGGAAUUCCACGUGUAGCAGUGAAAUGCGUAGAUAUGUGGAGGAACACCGAUGGCGAAGGCAGCCCCCUGGGCUAACACUGACGCUCAUGCACGAAAGCGUGGGGAGCAAACGGG